rnacentral:lncRNA from 1 species
GGCUGAUAGAUCUUGACCUAAUGAACAUUUUUACCCCAUGUCAGAUUUGCUCUAAAUGCUUUCGUUUUUGAGAUAUAAGCCAAAAACUGCAUUUGACCCCUAUGUUCUAUUUUUAGCAAUGGCGACCAUGUUUGUUGAUAGAUCAAAACUUCGGAUACAAUUUAUAAACUAGAUACCCUAAGGAACAUUCAGUUAAAGUUUGGAAGUAUUUGGCCUAGUAGUUUCAGAGGAGAAGAUUCUUGAAAAACUGCAUUUUACCCUGUGUUCUAUUUUUAGCCAUGACGGCCAUGUUUUUUGACGAAAUAGAAAAUAAAACACAAACUUUAUUUUAUACACCCUACUGAUCAUUCAGUUGAAGUUUGGUUGAAUUUGGUUGAGUAGUUUUAGAGGAGAAGAUUUUUUAAAGUUAGCAAAUAUGAUGAACAAAUUGUGAAAAAUUGUCAUUAAAGGACAAUAACC